rnacentral:rRNA from 1 species
AGUUGAUCUGGCUCAGGACGAACGCUGGCGGCGUGCUUAACACAUGCAAGUCAAGGGGGCCCAGCAAUGGGCAACCGGCGAACGGGUGCGUAACACGUGAGCAACCUACCGAACUGUGGGGGAUAGCCGGCCUAACGGCCGAGUAAUACCGCAUACGCUUUCAGUGAGGCAUUUCAUUGAAAGGAAACCUACGGGGACAGAUCGAGGGGCUCGCGGCCUAUCAGCUAGUUGGCGAGGUAACGGCUCACCAAGGCGACGACGGGUAGCUGGUCUGAGAGGAUGGCCAGCCACAUUGGGACUGAGAUACGGCCCAGACUCCUACGGGAGGCAGCAGUGGGGAAUCUUGCGCAAUGGCCUAACGGCUGACGCAGCGACGCCGCGUGGAGGAUGAAGGCUUUCGGGUUGUAAACUCCUGUCAUCUGGGAACAAAACCCGCAAGGGCGUGAUAGUACCAGAAGAGGAAGAGACGGCUAACUCUGUGCCAGCAGCCGCGGUAAUACAGAGGUCUCGAGCGUUGUUCGGAUUCAUUGGGCGUAAAGGGCGCGUAGGCGGCGGGGUAAGUCUGGUGUGAAAUCUCGGAGCUCAACUCCGAAAUUGCACUGGAUACUGCUCUGCUAGAGGGCUGGAGAGGAGAUCGGAAUUCACGGUGUAGCAGUGAAAUGCGUAGAUAUCGUGAGGAAGACCAGUGGCGAAGGCGGAUCUCUGGACAGCUCCUGACGCUGAGGCGCGAAGGCUAGGGGAGCAAACGGGAUUAGAUACCCCGGUAGUCCUAGCAGUAAACGGUGCACGUUUGGUGUGCGCGGAUUCGACCCCGUGCGUGCCGGAGCUAACGCGUUAAACGUGCCGCCUGAGGAGUACGGUCGCAAGAUUAAAACUCAAAGAAAUUGACGGGGGCCCGCACAAGCGGUGGAGUAUGUGGCUUAAUUCGAUGCAACGCGAAGAACCUUACCUGGCCUUGACAUGCAUCGUGUCGUCGGUGAAAGCCGGCUAGCCCCGCAAGGGGCGCUUUGCACAGGUGCUGCAUGGCUGUCGUCAGCUCGUGUCGUGAGAUGUUGGGUUAAGUCCCGCAACGAGCGCAACCCCUGUGAACUGUUGCUAACUCGCAAGAGUGCACUCUGUUCAGACUGCCCUGUGAAACGGGGAGGAAGGUGGGGACGACGUCAAGUCAGGAUGGCCCUUACGGCCAGGGCUGCACACGUACUACAAUGCCCAGUACAGAAUGAUCCGAAUCCGCGAGGUGGAGGAAAUCAUUAAAACUGGGCCCAGUUCGGAUUGUAGGCUGCAACUCGCCUACAUGAAGCCGGAAUCGCUAGUAAUGGCGCAUCAGCUACGGCGCCGUGAUACAUUCCCGGGCGUUCACACACCGC